GAUGAACGCUGGCGGCGUGCCUAUACCUGCAAGUCGCGCGAACAGACGAGGAGCUUGCUCCUCUGACGUUAGCGGCGGACGGGUGAGUAACACGUGGAUAACCUACCUAUAAGACUGGGAUAACUUCGGGAAACCGGAGCUAAUACCGGAUAAUAUAUUGAACCGCAUGGUUCAAUAGUGAAAGACGGUUUUGCUGUCACUUAUAGAUGGAUCCGCGCCGCAUUAGCUAGUUGGUAAGGUAACGGCUUACCAAGGCAACGAUGCGUAGCCGACCUGAGAGGGUGAUCGGCCACACUGGAACUGAGACACGGUCCAGACUCCUACGGGAGGCAGCAGUAGGGAAUCUUCCGCAAUGGGCGAAAGCCUGACGGAGCAACGCCGCGUGAGUGAUGAAGGUCUUCGGAUCGUAAAACUCUGUUAUUAGGGAAGAACAAAUGUGUAAGUAACUAUGCACGUCUUGACGGUACCUAAUCAGAAAGCCACGGCUAACUACGUG
rnacentral:rRNA from 1 species